ACAGGAGGAAGUUAAUGCACCAUCACUGCCUUCAAGCUGGUGGGCGCCACAAAACAUGGAAUCAGGUGGGCUCUAGAGGGGAGAGGGUUUCCCAGCUGACAGCCAUCGGGGAAGAGAGGAUUUCAGUCCCGAAACCGCAAGAACAGAAUUUGGCUAACAACCUAAGUGAGCUUGGAAGUGGAAUUUUCUCUCAAAGCCUCUAGUUUGUGUGAUGCUAAACAAAGGACCCAGUGGUGCUCACCUGGACUUAUGAACUAUAGAACUGUGAUGUGGAACUUGAGCCAGUUAUUUAACUUCCUCUCUCUCAUUGUCUUCCUCUGGAAAAGGGAGUGAGGAGUGUUUCGGGAAAGAUAAAUAAAGAGAAGUGGCUGAAGUGCAUGGGAUAUAUAAAGAAGUAAGAGAACAUGAGGGAAGAAAGAUAACUCCAGGCAGGUACCGUGAAAAAGACAGAAAAAAAGAUUGCUGAAACUUGCAGGGAAAUAUUUCAGUACCAAACACUGAAAGAAGAGUUGUUUUAUUCUUGAAAUUGAAGUAUCCAUAGCUAGUGCAUGAGAAGAGUUAUAAGAAUGUUUUUGGCAAGCUCUCUUGAAUCCAAAGCAAAUUGUAGGCCUCAGGGAUGAAUUUUGAUUAUGUACUGGAUUUCAAAGCUCCGGCUCACCUGUGGUUCUAUUCUAAAGAUGAAGAGCAGAGCAAAACUCCCAAAAGAACUUCUCUCUCAGUGCAUCUGAAGCAUUUUCUCCAGUUGCCCAGACAUCGCUUAGGGAUAAUUUGCAGAUUGAGGUACCGUUGUCAAGAAGUAGGGAUGACACUUCAACAAAAUGUAAAUGUUAUCAAAUGACACCAUUUAUACUUGCUGUGGAUUUGAGGUAUAUUUAAAGUAUAAAUAAAAAAUUUAACUAUGAGAUCUCCAAUGUUGACCCCAAGUGUCAAAAAAACCCCAAACAAUUACAACCCCAAAACAGAGAAUAAAUUUGUUCUAUUUCUUAAUCAACAUGUUAGGUCUCUUAACAGAAUGUAUAUGGGAGAAAAGUACUUCCAUUCUUCCAAGUACUGAAAGAGGUUCCUGUGCUGAAAGGCUUUUAUAUAUUCUAACUUUAACUUACGAUAUCUGUCAGGAAUAUGUUAUAAAUGUAUCACAAUAUGCAUACUAAAGGACUGAAGAAGCUGAAUGUCUCUGCAUAUUUUCAUAGAUAAUCAAAUUUGUUCUUUUCUCUUUUGGAAUUUUUCCAGGUCUGGAAUUUAAAAACAAAACAAAACAAAACUUCCAUCUGUAAAAGCAAAUUCAAUAGAGGUACUAAAAUGUACAAUAAUUGACUCAAAUUACUACUUCAAAGCUACUUUAUAGGCUUUCCUCAAGAUAGACACUAAGAGCUAAGCAUUCACUGAUUUUCCCUAUAGAAUCAUGCAACUCUUAUCAUCACUUUAUCAAUUUAUAAUGAUUUUCUGACAGUAAAAGGCAGAAAGGGAAUAGCACUACUCUACCCUAAUAAUAGUGUUCAGGGUCACUGAGAAAUUUUAAUGGUUAUAAACCAAAUUAUGGGAUUAAAGAGGUCAGAGGGAGCAAAUUGUUUUAUAUUCUGGUUUAUACUUCUCAUUUCAAGAACCUCAUGAAAUAAAAACUAUCUUUGAAGCAGUCAUAAAAUGUGAAAUUUAUCAGGCAAGGAAAUGAAAUUUUGUUUUUAAUUUACCUACUUCAAGGAAAAAAUUAUCCCUUCUCUAUGUUGCAUCUUCAGUAGACUAUCAUAAAAUUGAAACUGUUUUCCAUUAUAAUUUCCUCAUUUACUUUAUGAUUGAUUAUUCAUAUAUUUUUCUUUCCAUAUGUUAAAUGAAGCAUCUUUUAAAAUAAUGGAAAAUAUAUUUUGCCAUUAAUGUAUGCAAUACAUUUUGAACAUGAAAUCCAGUAAAUAAAACAAAAGCUUUCAAUUAAAUUACAUCUAAACUUUCAUUAAUUGUUCUUAAAUAUUCUAUUUAGUAACCUUGAUACUGGCUUAACACAAGGUUGACAUGCGAG
rnacentral:lncRNA from 1 species